rnacentral:sRNA from 1 species
CCCCGCCCAUUCAACGUGGAUAUGCGACCUCUUCUUGUCGACUGAUUCGUAUUGCACGCAUCCUUCAGACGUGCGAGCAGAAGAGUUGAGAUAUCGAAUACUCUUCCUUCUGACAGUUUGCUUUCCGAACACAUCCCCUCGAGCGGAAAACUUAGCUGAAGACAUCAGUCGCUUUUCACACUAAGGAGUCGAUAUAUCUUACAAGCUUCCUUGGGUGUGUGGGAUGUGGGAAUGUCGCUCCCAAUUUUUCCAUUGGUUUUCUGCUGCACGAGUGGCAUGCACCUUUUGAUUCUUAUUUUGCUCUGGCCUCAGUCAUGCUUCUUCACUUUUAUCGGAAUUCGAUCAGCGAUGCGGCUGCUGCCGUAAGGAGGGACAGCAAUCUAACUUUGAAAAAUAUAGCCACGCAUUGAUAACGAAGCUUGGAGGAAAGCGUUCCAAAAAGUGCAAUAAGGGAGAGGGGUGCCCUUGGAGGAAAAAUCAUCAUCUUCCCGUGGGGAUGGCUUUGUUAAAACCCCCCCCCCACACAGAAUCGCUUUCACUUGUUCAAAUGAAUCCUUGUUAAGGCGAACUCCACUCCUCCUAGCCACCUUCCUUGAGGUCAUUCUCAUUAUUCUUAUCUCAGUGUGGAGAGGUAGUGGGAGAACUCUAAAACAACAGGUAAAACCAAAUAACAAGGAAAGCCGAGGAAAUUUACUUUCAAAUAGCGGGUUGCAGUUCUGACAGCCCUUUUCAACAUGAUAAGAACGCGAGGAGGUAAGAAGCCUCUUUAUUUAAUUGAGUAUUCCGUUUGAUAGGUGAAAGUUGAGUGAUCUCCCCGCUCCCAAGUUGAGCAGCCCAUCGCAAGAAUUCAAGCGAUAUCUAUCUUCUUGGCCGGGAUAAACCUCCAGUUGCAUGAAUUUGCAAAUUCGUUCCCAACUUGCCCUCCCUCCCCUCCCUCCUUUACAAAUCACAGAGGUAUAGCAAAAAAAAAAAAAAAAAAAAAAAAGACGGGAUGACAAAACGCCCAUACGUGCAAACCGACAUUACAUACAUGCCACCAGGUGUGCAUUGCAUAUUCCGAUGUCCCAAGUUUAGGCCCGCUAUCCCACGGACGCCGCACAGCCGGCAGAAGAGACGUUAGGAAGCAUCCGCAAAUCGGUGGAGUUAAACAGAAUCUGGCACCCGGCAGUCGUGAAAAAUACUGGGUAAGGCGGCCACUACGAGGAGCUGGAAGGCGAUCCAUCCUCUGGGUUAUCAUGGCAUUUUUCAGCUACUUCAGGCUCCACGGCAAAUCGGAGGUUCUAAAAGACGGGAGAAUAUGGGGGGGGGGGGUACUCCGAGCGGGCCAGGCCGCUCAAUCUACGCGCGCAUGACAGCAUCUUUGGCUAGGGUCUAGGUAGAUCAUCAGCUCCAUCGGAGCUGAAAAACCUGUCAAAAGUUGUUGGAGUCAUUCACAGGCUGCAUCCCAGAAGCCACCUGAUCAGAUAUCCAGGUAUAUAUCUUGCCGAGCAAUCGAAGGUGAGGGAGAAAGUGAGUUGCCCACGGAUAUCCACGUUUCUGAUCGCCAACUGUCAAAGCGCAAAAGCUAAAAAAAAGUUCUCAAGAAACUCACCCAGAGUCAUUUAAGCUGUCAAAUGUGAUUGAUACCCCUGUCCACUUGGAAAACCACUUCCACCCCUGGAUAAGGUCUUUACCAUGGCCCUCGGAUUCGCCGGGUAUAGUCUCCUGAACUUAUGACUCAGGGAGCACGAGCCGGAAGGAUUUGCAGGGAGGGUCCCUGCAUUCUCAGUUAUUUUCCACGGAAAUCGCAAUGCCAUGAUAGCUACGUACAGGUACGGUGCAUUUUGAAGGUCGGGGGGAUUGAUGAGCCGACGACACAAAAACUGAACGCAAGUGCUAAGAGUAUGAUAAAUUCGGU